GGUCCCGUGGUGUAAUGGUUAGCACUCUGGACUUUGAAUCCAGCGAUCCGAGUUCGAGUCUCGGCGGGACCU